rnacentral:rRNA from 1 species
UGGGGAAUAUUGCACAAUGGGCGCAAGCCUGAUGCAGCCAUGCCGCGUGUGUGAAGAAGGCCUUCGGGUUGUAAAGCACUUUCAGCGAGGAGGAAGGUGGUGAAGCUUAAUACGCUCAUCAAUUGACGUUACUCGCAGAAGAAGCACCGGCUAACUCCGUGCCAGCAGCCGCGGUAAUACGGAGGGUGCAAGCGUUAAUCGGAAUUACUGGGCGUAAAGCGCACGCAGGCGGUUUGUUAAGUCAGAUGUGAAAUCCCCGGGCUCAACCUGGGAACUGCAUUUGAAACUGGCAAGCUAGAGUCUCGUAGAGGGGGGUAGAAUUCCAGGUGUAGCGGUGAAAUGCGUAGAGAUCUGGAGGAAUACCGGUGGCGAAGGCGGCCCCCUGGACGAAGACUGACGCUCAGGUGCGAAAGCGUGGGGCAGCAAACAGGAUUAGAUACCCCUGGUAGUCCACGCUGUAAACGAUGUCGAUUUUGGAGGUUGUGCCCCUUGAGGCGUGGCUUCCGGAGCUAACGCGUUAAAGUCGACCG